rnacentral:rRNA from 1 species
GAUGAACGCUGGCGGCGUGCCUAAUACAUGCCAGUCGAGCGAACAGACGAGGAGCUUGCUCCUCUGACGUUAGCGGCGGACGGGUGAGUAACACGUGGAUAACCUACCUAUAAGACUGGGAUCACUUCGGGAAACCGGCGCUAAUACCGGAUAAUAUAUUGAACCGCAUUGUUCAAUAGUGAAAGACGGUGUUGCUGUCACUUAUAGAUGGAUCCGCGCCGCAUGAGCUAGUUGUGAAGGUAAAGGCUUACCACGGCGACGAUGCGUAGCCGACCGGAGAGAGGGAUCGCCCACAUUAGAACGGGACCGCGGACCAGAGUCCUACGGGAGGCAGCAGUAUGCAAUCGGCGGCAACGGGGGAAAGUAUGGCGGAGCAACGCGACGUGAGUGAUAGAAGUGCUCGGAUCGGAAUACUCUGUUAUUAGGGAUGAACAGAUGUGUAAGUAACUAUGCAGGUCUUGACGGUAAUUAGUCAGAAAGCCACGGCUAACUACGUG